rnacentral:rRNA from 1 species
CAGCCGCCACGGUAAUACGAGGGGGGCAAGCGUUGUUCGGAAUUAUUGGGCGUAAAGGGUGCGUAGGCGGCUUGACAAGUCUUGUGUGAAAUCUAUGGGCUCAACCCAUAGUCUGCACGGGAAACUGUCGGGCUUGAGAAUGGGAGAGGUGAGUGGAAUUUCCGGUGUAGCGGUGAAAUGCGUAGAUAUCGGAAGGAACACCUGUGGCGAAAGCGGCUCACUGGACCAUUUCUGACGCUGAUGCACGAAAGCUAGGGGAGCAAACAGGAUUAGAUACCCCAGUAGUCCCUGUCUCUUAUAC